GAUGAACGCUAGCGGCAGGCUUAAUACACGCAAGUCGAGGGACAGCACAGGUAGCAAUACUGGGUGGUAACCGGCAAACGGGUGCGGAACACGUACACAACCUUCCUUUAAGUGGGGGAUAGCCCAGAGAAAUUUGGAUUAAUACCCCGUAAUAUAGUUGAAUGGCAUCAUUUGAUUAUUAUAGCUACGGCGCUUAAUGAUGGGUGUGCGGCUGAUUAGAAAGUUGGCGGGGGACAGGCCCACCAAGUCUACGAUCAGUAGCUGAUGUGAGAGAAUGAUCAGCGACGCGGGCCAUGAGCGACGUGCCCGACUCAUACGGGAGGCAGCAGGAGGGAAUAGUGGUCAAUGGGCGCAAGUCUGAACCAGCCAUGCCGCGUGAAGGGUUAAGGUCCUCUGGAUUGUAAACUUCUUUUAUUUGGGACGAAAAAGGGACUUUCUAGGUCAACUGACGGUACCAGAUGAAUAAGCACCGGCUAACUCCGUGCCAGCCGCCGCAGUAACAC
rnacentral:rRNA from 1 species